rnacentral:rRNA from 1 species
GAUGAACGCUGGCGGCGUGCCUAAUACAUGCAAGUCGAGCGAACAGGCGAGGAGCUUGCUCCUCUGACGUUAGCGGCGGACGGGUGAGUAACACGUGGAUAACCUACCUAUAAGACUGGGAUAACUUCGGGAAACCGGAGCUAAUACCGGAUAAUAUAUUGAACCGCAUGGUUCAAUAGUGAAAGACGGUUUUGCUGUCACUUAUAGAUGGAUCCGCGCCGCAUUAGCUAGUUGGUAAGGUAACGGCUUACCAAGGCAACGAUGCGUAGCCGACCUGAGAGGGUGAUCGGCCACACUGGAACUGAGACACGGUCCAGACUCCUACGGGAGGCAGCAGUAGGGAAUCUUCCGCAAUGGGCGAAAGCCUAACGGAGCAACGCCGCGUGAGUGAUGAAGGUCUUCGGAUCGUAAAACUCUGUUAUUAGGGAAGAACAAAUGUGUAAGUAACUAUGCACGUCUUGACGGUACCUAAUCAGAAAGCCACGGCUAACUACGUG